AGUAACGAAAAAGGCUAAUAGCCUCGCCUUAAGCUUAUGGCUUCUAACCUAAAAUCGGUGUACUAAAAAUAUUAAUCAAAAGGUAAUUUUGAUGAUGAAUAAUAAACUCUGAUACGUAAUAUUAAAAUAUAAAACCUUUAACAAGUAAUAAAGGUUCAGGAAAAUAUUUUUAUAUUACAUGUUAACAUCUUAACGAAGGAGUUAGGUAGGAUACUACCUGUUAACCAGAUGCGUUAUUACACCGUACCUAGAAUCUAACACAAGUAAGCAAGUAGAGAAUACAAAGGCGUUUGAGUGAACAAUCAUUAAGGAACUCGGCAAAUUGACUCUGUACCUUCGGAAUAAGGAGGGCCAUUAUUAUAAAUUUGAUUAAAAGAUAUUAAAUUUAUAAUAAGAGGAAUCAUGAAAUAAUGUUGUACGACUGUUUAAUAAAAACACAGCACUCUGCAAAGAUAAAAAAUCAAAGUAUUGAGUGUGAUGUCUGCCCGAUGUCGGCUGGGUAACGAAUUUUCCUUGGUUAUUAACUGAGGUUUUGAAGGACACCCCGAUUAAUGGCGGCCUUACCUAUGAGGGUCCUAAGGUAGCGAAAUACCUUGGCCGUUAAAUGCGGUCCUGCAUGAAUGACUUAACGAUGCAACAGCUGUCUCGAUGAUUGUCUCAGUGAAAUUGGAAUAGCAGUGCAGAUACUGUUUACCUCUAGAUAGACGAGAAGACCCUAUGCAGCUUUACUGUUACUAAUUACAAGAGUAAACCUUUAGGAUGAUUUAUAGUGUAUAAGGUAGUUGAAUGAUAACAAUGAAACACCUUUAUUCGAAUCCUAUAUUAUUCUCUUGAUGAUUGGGAGGCAGUUUAUGCGGGGCACAGAUCCCACAAAAAGUACCUGGGUAUAUCCAAAGUUCAUAUUGUAAACUUGUAUGUUUACAUACAUAUAUUUUAAUUUGUAAUAAUUAUUUUUAUAAUUAUACAGUUACUAUUCGAUUAAAUUCUACAUUUAUUUUUAUUUUAAGUAAGAUUUUAACUAUGUGGUGAAUAGAUGUAUUUUAAACUUUAAUAUUUAAAAGUUUUUUGUUAUGUUUAAGUUGUAUUUGUCAACUUAAAUAUGAUAUUUAUUUAUACUUUAAAAGUUUAAUGGCUUAAUCUUGCUUUACUGUUUGACCUACGAGUCUAUCAGUCGCGUAAGCGGGGCAUAUGAUCACAAGAUGCAUUAAGGAAAGGUCUUGGAUUAUAGAAAAAGUUACGCUAGGGAUUUAUAACUGUGAGUCCUCCAAUAU
rnacentral:ncRNA from 1 species